CUGACCUCGAAUCAGGUGGGACUACCCGCUGAACUUAAGCAUAUCAAUAAGCGGAGGAAAAGAAACUAACAAGGAUUCCCCUAGUAACGGCGAGUGAAGCGGGAUGAGCUCAAAUUUAAAAUCUGAUAGUCUUUGGCUGUCCGAGUUGUAAUCUAGAGAAGUGUUUUCCGCGUUGGACCAUGUACAAGUUUCCUGGAACGGAACGUCAUAGAGGGUGAGAAUCCCGUCCUUGACAUGGACUACCAGUGCUUUGUGAUACACUCUCAACGAGUCGAGUUGUUUGGGAUUGCAGCUCAAAAUGGGAGGUAAAUUCCUUCUAAAGCUAAAUAUUGGCGAGAGACCGAUAGCGAACAAGUACCGUGAGGGAAAGAUGAAAAGCACUUUGGAAAGAGAGUUAAACAGUACGUGAAAUUGUUAAAAGGGAAACGAUUGAAGUCAGUCGCGUUUGCUUGGACUCAGCCUUACCUCGGUUUGGUGCAUUUCCUUGUGAACGGGCCAGCGUCAAUGUUGUUCGUUGGAAAAGGGUUAGAGAAAUGUGGCUCUUUCGGGAGUGUUAUAGUCUCUGAUCGUAUACAACGGCUGAUAUUGAGUGGUACAGCAUGCUUCGGCGGUGCUUGUGCUGGCAUAAUGGCUUUAAACGACCCGUCUUGAAACACGGACC
rnacentral:rRNA from 1 species